rnacentral:rRNA from 1 species
CCUACGGGAGGCUGCAGUGAGGAAUAUUGGUCAAUGGACGAGAGUCUGAACCAGCCAAGUAGCGUGAAGGAUGACUGCCCUAUGGGUUGUAAACUUCUUUUAUAUGGGAAUAAAACGUUCCACGUGUGGGAUUUUGUAUGUACCAUAUGAAUAAGGAUCGGCUAACUCCGUGCCAGCAGCCGCGGUAAUACGGAGGAUCCGAGCGUUAUCCGGAUUUAUUGGGUUUAAAGGGAGCGUAGGUGGAUUGUUAAGUCAGUUGUGAAAGUUUGCGGCUCAACCGUAAAAUUGCAGUUGAAACUGGCAGUCUUGAGUACAGUAGAGGUGGGCAGAAUUCGUGGUGUAGCGGUGAAAUGCUUAGAUAUCACGAAGAACUCCGAUUGCGAAGGCAGUUCACUGGACUGCAACUGACACUGAGGCUCGAAAGUGUGGGUAUCAAACAGGAUUAGAUACCCUUGUAGUC